AACUUUUGGCAACGGAUCUCUUGGCUCUCGCAUCGAUGAAGAACGCAGCGAAAUGCGAUAAGUAAUGUGAAUUGCAGAAUUCAGUGAAUCAUCGAACCUUUGAAAGCACCUUGCGCUCCCUGGUAUUCCGGGGAGCACGCCUGUGCGAGUGUCGCGAAAUUUCUCAAGCUUGGAUGGCUUUUGUCUGUCCUAAGUCGUGGUUGUUGGGCUUUGUCUUGUCCCUCAUUGGGACGGCUGGCCUUAAAAGCAUCAGCUGAUCCUCGUGUGGCACUGGUUCUACUCAGCGUGAUAAUAGUCUGAUCGCUGAGGACAUCUUUUGGGAUGGCCAGUUCUCAUUUGGGUUGCUUCUAAACUUGGUUUUGCAGAUUCUUUCAAUCUGUGUUCCUCUUUUUCAGCUUUGACCUCGAAUCAGGUGGGACUACCCGCUGAACUUAAGCAUAUCAAUAAGCGGAGGCU
rnacentral:misc_RNA from 1 species